rnacentral:rRNA from 1 species
AUUGAGCGCUGGCGGCAGGCCUAACACAUGCGAGUCGAGCGGAUGAAGGGAGCUUGCUCCUGGAUUCAGCGGCGGACGGGUGAGUAAUGCCUAGGAAUCUGCCUGGUAGUGGGGGAUAACGUCCGGAAACGGGCGCUAAUACCGCAUACGUCCUGAGGGAGAAAGUGGGGGAUCUUCGGACCUCACGCUAUCAGAUGAGCCUAGGUCGGAUUAGCUAGUUGGUGGGGUAAAGGCCUACCAAGGCGACGAUCCGUAACUGGUCUGAGAGGAUGAUCAGUCACACUGGAACUGAGACACGGUCCAGACUCCUACGGGAGGCAGCAGUGGGGAAUAUUGGACAAUGGGCGAAAGCCUGAUCCAGCCAUGCCGCGUGUGUGAAGAAGGUCUUCGGAUUGUAAAGCACUUUAAGUUGGGAGGAAGGGCAGUAAGUUAAUACCUUGCUGUUUUGACGUUACCAACAGAAUAAGCACCGGCUAACUUCGUG